GACGGCAGCACGGGGGCAACCCUGGUGGCGAGUGGCGAACGGGUGAGUAAUACAUCGGAACGUGUCCUGUAGUGGGGGAUAGCCCGGCGAAAGCCGGAUUAAUACCGCAUACGAUCUACGGAAGAAAGCGGGGGAUCCUUCGGGACCUCGCGCUAUAGGGGCGGCCGAUGGCAGAUUAGCUAGUUGGUGGGGUAAAGGCCUACCAAGGCGACAAUCUGUAGCUGGUCUGAGAGGACGACCAGCCACGCUGGGACUGAGACACGGCCCACACUCCUACGGGAGGCAUCAGUGGGGAAUUUUGGACAAUGGGGGAAACCCUGAUCCAGCAAUGCCGCGUGUGUGAAGAAGGCCUUCGGGUUGUAAAGCACUUUUGUCCGGAAAGAAAACCUUCGCUCUAAUACAGUGGGGGGAUGACGGUACCGGAAG
rnacentral:rRNA from 1 species